rnacentral:lncRNA from 1 species
AGCAGCACCACCGCCUUGCUGACAGAGCCUGUGUGUCCCCCUAGCAACCCCCGACGAAGUUGUGGAGGCCGGAGGGAGAGAGAAGACCAAGGAGGAGGCCCUGGCUGGGGAAACUGAGGAGGAGAUGGGGCUGGGGACUGUGAAGGCGAGGAGGAGGAGGAAAAGGAGGAAGCUGCAGCCAUAGACAAGGCGGAGGAGGAGGCGGGCCCGGCCCAUGAAAAUGACAAGGAGGAGUCGCCAGCCAGCGACCGGGCUGAGCAGGAAGACAAGCCUGCCCCCAAGGUGGACGGGACGGACGAUGAAAGCUUGUGGAGCAUUGUGAGUCUGUGUGGCAGCAACCACGAAGAAAGUGAUACAGACUUGGUGGCGGAGAGCACCGACUGCCGCCAGGAUGAGGAGGCUGCAGCAACCCCCGACGAUGUUGUGGAGGCCGGUGGGAGUGAGAAGACCAAGGAGGAGGCCCUGGCUGGGGAAACUGAGGAGGAGAUGGGGCUGGGGACUGUGAAGGCGGAGGAGGAGGAGGAAAAGGAGGAAGCUGCAGCCAUAGACAAGGCGGAGGAGGAGGCGGGCCCAGCCCAUGAAAAUGACAAGGAGGAGUCGCCAGCCAGCGACCGGGCUGAGCACGAAGACAAGCCUGCCCCCAAGGUAAGCUCACCUUUCUUGAUGUGAGAUUUGAAAAGUUGCCUUUUUUCUUUUUGAUAUCCCUAUCUCAGAAAUGGAAAUCUGAGAAAGUCCGUUAUAGAGGGUAUAUGCAGAUUCCUCUGCGGAGGAAUGUUGAGUCAAAGUUUGGUACCAACCAAUAACUCCUUCCAAGGGGCACUGGCCAAAGUGACCGCAUCAGUUCCCAAGUGUACAGCAGGGAGCAUUUUUCUUUGAAGAAGCCUGAAUGUUGUUUUGUUUUGUUUGUCUUUUUGCCUUUUCUAGGGCCACUCCCGUGGCAUAUGGAGUUUCCCAGGCCAGGGGUCUCAUCGGUGCUGUAGACACCGGCCUACGCCAGAGACGCAGCAGCGUGGGAUCCGAGCCAUGUCGGCAGCCUACACCACAGCUCAUGGCAAUGCCGGAUCCUUAACCUACUGAGCAAGGCCAGGGAUGCAAACCGCAACCGCAUGGUUCCUGGUGGGAUUGCCACGACGGG